GACGAACGCUGGCGGCGUGCCUAAUACAUGCAAGUAGAACGCACAGUUUAUACCGUAGCUUGCUACACCAUAAACUGUGAGUUGCGAACGGGUGAGUAACGCGUAGGUAACCUGCCUGGUAGCGGGGGAUAACUAUUGGAAACGAUAGCUAAUACCGCAUAAUAUUGAUUAUUGCACGAUAAUUGAUUGAAAGAUGCUAUUGCAUCACUACCAGAUGGACCUGCGUUGUAUUAGCUAGUAGGUGAGGUAACGGCUCACCUAGGCGACGAUACAUAGCCGACCUGAGAGGGUGAUCGGCCACACUGGGACUGAGACACGGCCCAGACUCCUACGGGAGGCAGCAGUAGGGAAUCUUCGGCAAUGGACGAAAGUCUGACCGAGCAACGCCGCGUGAGUGAAGAAGGUUUUCGGAUCGUAAAGCUCUGUUGUAAGAGAAGAACGGGUGUGGGAGUGGAAAGUUCACACUGUGACGGUAUCUUACCAGAAAGGGACGGCUAACUACGUG
rnacentral:rRNA from 1 species